CUAGGAAAAAGCUUCUCUAGAAGUCCUAGUAGGAGUCCUGGCUAUUCAAGGAGUAGGAGUCCUGGCUAUAGCUACAGCAGCAGGAGCAGGAGGUCUGAUGAAUUCUAAAUUUAUCAGCCUUUCAAAUUUUUGUCUGAAUUACUCUACCCAUUGACAGACUUUGCUUUUACAUAGUGCUUCUCCAAGGGCCAGAUACUCUCGUCGCUCUCCAUUUAGAUCUCUCUCAAGGUCUGUUUCAUUAGGGGCUCUGUCUGACUCCCCUCGUUAUGUUUCAAGGUAGAUUAUUGCUGUGC
rnacentral:lncRNA from 1 species